AGAGUUUGAUCAUGGCUCAGAACGAACGCUGGCGGCGUGCCUAACACAUGCAAGUCAAACGGUUUGGUAGCAAUACGGGACAGUGGCGCACGGGUGAGUAAUGCAUGGGUGACCUGCCUUAGGGAGGGGGAUAACCAAUCGAAAGAGUGGCUAAUACCGCAUACGCAGCAGAGAGUGAGUUAACUGCUGGAAAGGAGGGGAUCGUAAGACCUUCCACCCUUAGAGGGGCUCAUGUCCCAUUAGCUAGUUGGCGAGGUAAAAGCUCCCCAAGGCGAAGAUGGGUAACUGGUCUGAGAGGACGAUCAGUCACACUGGAACUGAGACACGGUCCAGACUCCUACGGGAGGCAGCAGUGGGGAAUAUUGCGCAAUGGGGGAAACCCUGACGCAGCAACGCCGCGUGGGUGAAGAAGGCCUUCGGGUUGUAAAGCCCUUUCGGCCGGGAAGAAGGGUGAAUGGGUUAAUACCCUGUUCAUUUGAUGGUACCGGAGGAAGAAGCACCGGCUAACUUCGUGCCA
rnacentral:rRNA from 1 species